GGCGUUAUGAAGGUGCGCCUUCGGUAUCGUCACAGGGCGGGCGUUCGGCGACGUCACUGGGGAGGUACAGUGCUUGGAGCUGGGCAGUCUUCUACUUAGAGUGGAGCCUGGUAACCGCGACCUCCCCGCCAAGUCCUGUGUGUUGACAAACACCGACUCAGCACAGUGUUCAUGUCGGUCAAAAAUAGAAAACUAUGUCCGGGCGCGGCCAGCGGGAGAAGCCCUUCAGGCCAAGAGCAGCCUGGCAACAUGGCGGGACCCCACCUCUGUAGUCCUACCUCAGCCCCCCAGCUACUUGAACCCUAAGGUUCAAGGCUCCAAUGAGCUGUGAUCCCACCACAGCACUCCAGCCUGCGAGACUGAGAUGAUGAUUAUUCUCCACCUUCUAAGAGAACAAAGACCAGCGAGCCACCACAGCCACCAGUCCUGGAACCCGCCAAUGCUGGGGGGAGUGAGGAAAGUGAGGGAGUUCAACUCUGUAAAGGAAGAAUGGUAUGCCAGAAUCACUAAAUGAAGAAAGAUGGUGGAUCAGCUUUUCUGCAAAAAAAUUUGCUGAAGCCUUGGGGAGCACUGAAGCCAAGGCUCUACUGUACCAAAAAUUUGAAGGCCAUGCGAAUGAUCUGUAUGUGGAAGGGCUACCAGAAAACAUUCCUUUCAGAAGUCCCUCGUGGUAUGGAAUCCCAAGGCUGGAAAACAUCAUUCAAGUGGGCAAUCAAAUUAAAUUUCUUAUUAAAAGUAACUCCAGUCGGACUCCAUUGUCUCCAAGUCGACUUUCGUCCUCAUCCACAACUCCUCCACACAAGCCCUGAACACGUGUCCAUAUGGAGUUUUACUCUUGUUGCCCAUGCUGGAGUGCAAUGGUGUGAUCUUGGCUCACUGCAACCUCUGCCUCCCGGAUUCAAGUGAUUCUCCUUCCUCAGCCUCCCGAGUAGCUGGGAAUACAGCUCAAGCUCUUGGACUCAGAGGCAGUAAAAGUACCAUAUUCUGUGUUUGAAUCAAACCCCGAGUUCCUGUAUGUAGAAGGCUUGCCAGACAGAAUUCCCUUUCCAAGCCCUACCUGGUUUGGAAUUCCAUGACUUGAAAGGAUCGUCUGUGGAGUAAUAAAACCAAGUUUGUUGUUAAAAAGUAAGUUCCAGGCCGGGUAUGGUGGCUCACGCCUGUAAUCCCAGCACUUUGGGAGGCCAAGGCAGGUGAAUCACCUGAGGUCAGGAGUUCAAGACCAGCCCAACCAACAUCUCUACUAAAAAUGUUAAAAAUUAGCCAGGCAUGGUGGCUGGUGCCUGUAAUCCCAGCUACUUGGGAGCCUGAAGCAGGAGAAUCGCUUGAAGCUGGGAGGCAGAGGCUGCAGUGAGCCAAGAUCACAGCACUGUACUCUAGCCUGGGCGACAGAGUGAGACUCUGCCUCAACAACAACAACAACAAUAUUAAAAAAACCUGAACUAGUUAUUUCCUACUCGCCUCCUGGAAUGGCUAAUAAAAUAAACACGAAAGCUUUGCAGUCCCCAAAAAGACCAUGAAGCCCUGAGAGUAAUGGAAAGGUUCCUGAAAUUGAGGUCACUGUGGAAGUCUCAGCCGAGAUGUCUCACCCCACUCUCUCUGAUGCAACAAGAAGCCCCUGGGGAACGUUUCAGUCCCACUCUGUACUUCUGUCAUGUGCUCGUCACAGUCUGAACCACCUAAGCUGAAGAUUCCCUUGAGAACAAGGGCUAGCCUGUGAUUUCGUGACCUUUCUUCCAUUUGUGGUUCUUGCCAAGUGGAAUUUAAAUGACCUUUUAUCAAGAUGGAUAAACCCAAGUUUCCCAGUGCCGGAAUAUAGAAAAUGGAUGGAUAAGUAAGUCCCACUCAGCACCCAUAGCCCAGACAUGGGGACCUCAACACACCUGGGUCCCAGACAUCACCUUUCAUUGUGAGUAGCUCAGAGAUGACAUUCUUGGUUGUUAAGUACCCACUGGCAAUAGUUUAUAUAACAGCAAGUGAAGGAAUAAAUAGUCACCAAAACA